AGCAGCCGCGGUAAUUCCAGCUCCAAUAGCGUAUAUUAAAGUUGUUGCAGUUAAAAAGCUCGUAGUUGAAUUUCGGGAUCAAUAUGUUGGUCGUGCCUCGGUACGUACUAGCAUAUUGGUUUCUCCUUUCUGAAGAACCAUGAUGUCAUUUAUUUGGUGUCGUGGGGAAUCAGGACUGUUACUUUGAAAAAUUAGAGUGUUUAAAGCAGGCUCACGCUUGAAUACAUUAGCAUGGAAUAAUGAAAUAGGACGUUUGAUUCUAUUUUGUUGGUUUCUAGGAUCGACGUAAUGAUUAAUAGGGAUAGUUGGGGGCAUUAGUAUUCAAUUGUCAGAGGUGAAAUUCUUGGAUUUAUUGAAGACUAACUACUGCGAAAGCAUUUGCCAAGGAUGUUUUCAUUAAUCAAGAACGAAAGUUAGGGGAUCGAAGACGAUCAGAUACCGUCGUAGUCUUAACCAUAAACUAUGCCGACUAGGGAUCGGAUGAUGUUAAUUUUUAAUGUACUCAUUCGGCGCCUUAAC
rnacentral:rRNA from 1 species